rnacentral:rRNA from 1 species
AUUGAACGCUGGCGGCAUGCUUUACACAUGCAAGUCGAACGGCAGCACGGGGGCAACCCUGGUGGCGAGUGGCGAACGGGUGAGUAACACAUCGGAACGUGCCCAGUUGUGGGGGAUAACCUAUCGAAAGGUAGGCUAAUACCGCAUGAGCUCGGCAAGAGGAAAGCGGGGGACUCAGCGAUGGGCCUCGCGCGACUGGAGCGGCCGAUGUCCGAUUAGCAGUUGGUGGGGUAAAGGCUUACCAAGGCGACGAUCGGUAGCUGGUCUGAGAGGAUGAUCAGCCACACUGGGACUGAGACACGGCCCAGACUCCUACGGGAGGCAGCAGUGGGGAAUUUUGGACAAUGGGGGCAAGCCUGACCGAGCGACGCCGCGUGCGCGAUGAAGGCCUU